CCGCAGACGCGGCGUCGCGGCAGAUCUGUUCACUCGCGCGAGGAGGGAAAGCGUUCGGUUCCUGGAUCGCUGGGCCCCGGCGCCACGGCUCUCGCCCCUCCCCCACCGGCCCCAGCAGCAAGACCUCGUGGCGAGAAAGGGCCCGGCCUGCGGUUACAGCAGAGGGUUGCCCGAGAAGUACUGCAGCCGGUCUCUGCUGAGUUUUUUUUCCUUCAUCCUCCGGUUCUGAAACCAGAUCUUCACUUGCCGGUCGGUCAGGUUCAGCAUGCGGGACAGCUGCAGCCGCUUCUCCUUGUUGAUGUACACGUUGAAGAAGAACUCGCGCUCCAGCUCCCGGAUCUGGAAUUUCGAAUAAGGGCAGCGCUUCUUGCGGGACUGGGUGUCAAGACUACCUUUUCCCUUUGGAGAGACUCCUCAGAAGAGUAUCUGAAGUUUCUCAAAGGUCUGCCAGCCUUCUGAAUGGCUGUGGCCCAAGGGGUGGCCUCAGUGGUUCUGCCCUCCCUGGCCUCCCAUCCCUCUGGGCACCACAGGACACAUUGGUCAGCUGAAAAGCACUUUAUUGAAAGGUUCUGGACUGGGUCCAAGGGGCUGGAGCAACUGUCACGAGCAGAGAGCAACCUUGGAUCCAAGGAGGAGCUGUCAGAGCAUGAUUUGUUCUGGUAGGAGGGGAGGAAUUGAAGCCCCCGAAAGACUCGGCUCAUUGCACUCAGGGAGCAGCCAGGAAUGACCCAAAUUAUCUUUACACCCAAAUUUGGAUUAAAAUUUGUUUCUA